rnacentral:rRNA from 1 species
GACGAACGCUGGCGGCGUGCUUAACACAUGCAAGUCGAACGGAAAGGCCCUGCUGUUGUGGGUUGCUCGAGUGGCGAACGGGUGAGUAACACGUGAGUAACCUGCCCUUGACUUUGGGAUAACUUCAGGAAACUGGGGCUAAUACCGGAUAGGAGCUCCUGCUGCAUGGUGGGGGUUGGAAAGUUUCGGCGGUUGGGGAUGGACUCGCGGCUUAUCAGCUUGUUGGUGGGGUAGUGGCUUACCAAGGCUUUGACGGGUAGCCGGCCUGAGAGGGUGACCGGCCACAUUGGGACUGAGAGACGGCCCAGACUCCUACGGGAGGCAGCAGUGGGGAAUAUUGCACAAUGGGCGGAAGCCUGAUGCAGCAACGCCGCGUGCGGGAUGACGGCCUUCGAGUUGUAAACCGAUUUCGCCUGUGACGAAGCGUGAGUGACGGUAAUGGGUAAAGAAGCACCGGCUAACUACGUG